CCAAACUUGGUCAUUUAGAGGAAGUAAAAGUCGUAACAAGGUUUCCGUAGGUGAACCUGCGGAAGGAUCAUCAAAGAAGAGAUAGGGGGGUGGGGUGUACAUCAUCAAUCCCCCCUAUAACCACUCAUGUGUGCAUUGUAUAGGUGUGGUGUGAUGGCGUGUAUCGCGCGCGCACACCACACCUCAUAUAUAAACUACUACUACUACCUGACGUAUGAUAUCAUCAUUAUAACAUAACACAACUUUUAACAAUGGAUCUCUUGGCUCUCGCAUCGAUGAAGAACGCAGC
rnacentral:misc_RNA from 1 species